CUUCUCCUGCCGGCUCCUAAAUCCCCGUCCCUGUGGGGGAGCGGCUAGCUCGGGGUGAGCCCCUGAGAGCUGAACCUCCCUCCUCCUUCUCUCCUGCAACUACAGGUGAUGCCCAGCAGACACCAGCACUGACCAGCAGCACCCGGACCAGAGUCACAGCAGGUGUAGCCGCCCCCAUGCCCAGGGAACACAGGCCAGGCUCGUCCAGGGCUGGAGACUCAGAAUUUUUACUCAGAAGUCUUUUUCAUGCUUUAAAAAAAUGACACCCCAUCACAGAUCCACAGGAUCGGUGCUAUGGCCCCCACUUUGGAACAGUCUCUGGGAGGACCCAUUCAGUGAGCCAGGCCCCCUAGAGGUCUCACUCUUUCCCCAGGGUAAGCCACCACGUGCUUCUGUAGACUGGACCUCUGGUCGUUCAGCACCACGAGCUCCAUUCAGUCAGUCCCACUGAGACGGACCCCUGCGGGAGACUUGUACAGUAUUAGGGAGCAAUGCACCCCACCCCAGCACCUGCAGUGACACUCAGCCAGCCUUGUCAGUGUUGGGUUUACUAGUCAGCCGAGGUACAGCCUAGGAAGUCCUUGGUUAGCACAGGGAAAUGAAGGUCGAAGCAUAGGCCAUUCUGGAUAGCCAGAGCCCAGCCAAGCUGUAGUGAACCCUCAUUGUUCAAAAAGAACAGGAGUCCUUGUGGCACCUUAGAGACUAACAAAUUUAUUUGAGCAUAAGCUUUCAUGGGCUACAGCCCACUUCAUCAGAGGCAUGCAGUGGA